GCGACCCAUUCUUGUUUUCUG
rnacentral:miRNA from 1 species